rnacentral:rRNA from 1 species
CCCUGGCUCAGAUUGAACGCUGGCGGCAGGCCUAACACAUGCAAGUCGAGCGGCAGCACGGGUACUUGUACCUGGUGGCGAGCGGCGGACGGGUGAGUAAUGCCUAGGAAUCUGCCUGGUAGUGGGGGAUAACGCUCGGAAACGGACGCUAAUACCGCAUACGUCCUACGGGAGAAAGCAGGGGACCUUCGGGCCUUGCGCUAUCAGAUGAGCCUAGGUCGGAUUAGCUAGUUGGUGAGGUAAUGGCUCACCAAGGCGACGAUCCGUAACUGGUCUGAGAGGAUGAUCAGUCACACUGGAACUGAGACACGGUCCAGACUCCUACGGGAGGCAGCAGUGGGGAAUAUUGGACAAUGGGCGAAAGCCUGAUCCAGCCAUGCCGCGUGUGUGAAGAAGGUCUUCGGAUUGUAAAGCACUUUAAGUUGGGAGGAAGGGCAUUUACCUAAUACGUAAGUGUUUUGACGUUACCGACAGAAUAAGCACCGGCUAA